rnacentral:rRNA from 1 species
GCUGACGAGUGGCGGACGGGUGAGUAAUGUCUGGGAAACUGCCUGAUGGAGGGGGAUAACUACUGGAAACGGUAGCUAAUACCGCAUAACGUCGCAAGACCAAAGAGGGGGACCUUCGGGCCUCUUGCCAUCGGAUGUGCCCAGAUGGGAUUAGCUAGUAGGUGGGGUAACGGCUCACCUAGGCGACGAUCCCUAGCUGGUCUGAGAGGAUGACCAGCCACACUGGAACUGAGACACGGUCCAGACUCCUACGGGAGGCAGCAGUGGGGAAUAUUGCACAAUGGGCGCAAGCCUGAUGCAGCCAUGCCGCGUGUAUGAAGAAGGCCUUCGGGUUGUAAAGUACUUUCAGCGGGGAGGAAGGGAGUAAAGUUAAUACCUUUGCUCAUUGACGUUACCCGCAGAAGAAGCACCGGCUAACUCCGUGCCAGCAGCCGCGGUAAUACGGAGGGUGCAAGCGUUAAUCGGAAUUACUGGGCGUAAAGCGCACGCAGGCGGUUUGUUAAGUCAGAUGUGAAAUCCCCGGGCUCAACCUGGGAACUGCAUCUGAUACUGGCAAGCUUGAGUCUCGUAG